ensembl:antisense Gm16764 predicted gene, 16764
UUCUGCUUCUUCCACUUGGUCCUGCGGUUCUGGAACCAAAUUUUGACCUGCGUCUCCGUGAGGCUGAGCGACAGCGCCAGGUUCAGGCGCUCGCACACCGACAGGUAGCGCGUGGCUCGAAACUUGUUCUCUAGGGCCACCAGCUGCUCGUAGGUGAAGGCAGUGCGCGCGCGCCGUGGCUUGGCGCAGCUGGACUCCGCUCGCCGGCGUCGGGGCCGCGGGGAACCGGGAGAGCCCGGGGACGCCGGGAGGCCAUCCGCGCCGCUCUCUUCCGUUCCCACCGCCACUGCCCCGGCCUCUGGGCAGCGAGACGCACCGGCGGGAGGGCAGCUCGCGUGAAUUUUUGCGGAUCCAAGAUGUCCAAGACAGAGAAGGAGAUCUUGUGGUGAGAGGGGGCCGCCUUGGCCCCGACGUCCUGCCAUGCCAACAUGCCCGCCUCCCGCGGGCCCGAGGCCAGCCGCACUGGGGUCGGGGCUAGAUGCGCUCAGCCUUAUCUUCUGCAGUGGUUUGGCCACAGCUCUCCAGCCACGAACUGGAAUU